rnacentral:rRNA from 1 species
GCACCGAAGCUGCGGCAGCGAACGUAUCACUUAAAGCGAUUCAGCGGAUGACGAUUGACGGAGCGAAGCGACGUCAAAGCGUUUUACAACGUCGAGUCGGUUUAAGGAUACGUUCGUUGGGUAGGGGAGCGUUCUGUAAGCCUGCGAAGGUGGCCUGUGAGGGUUGCUGGAGGUAUCAGAAGUGCGAAUGCUGACAUAAGUAACGAUAAAGCGGGUGAAAAGCCCGCUCGCCGGAAGACCAAGGGUUCC